rnacentral:rRNA from 1 species
UACGUAGGGGGCGAGCGUUGUCCGAAGUUACUGGGCGUAAAGCGCGCGUAGGCGAGGGCGUAAGUCUGCUGUGAAAGCCCGGGGCUCAACCCCGGAGGGUCGGCGGAGACUGCGUCUCUUGAGGGCGGUAGAGAGAAGUGGAAUGGCUGGUGUAGCGGUGAAAUGCGUAGAUAUCAGUCGGAACACCGGUGGCGAAGGCGGCUUCUUGGGCCGUACCUGACGCUGAGGCGCGAAAGCCAGGGGAGCGAACGGG